rnacentral:sRNA from 1 species
GUGUUUGUGUCUGACACACCGGUGCCCGUGGGCAUCCCAGACCGGGCGGCGCUCACCAUCCCACAGGGCAUGGAGGUGGUCAAGGACACUAGUGGAGAGAGUGACGUGCGAUGUGUAAACGAGGUCAUCCCCAAGGGCCACAUCUUCGGCCCCUAUGAGGGGCAGAUCUCCACCCAGGACAAAUCAGCUGGCUUCUUCUCCUGGCUGAUUGUGGACAAGAACAACCGCUAUAAGUCCAUAGAUGGCUCAGACGAGACCAAAGCCAACUGGAUGAGGUACGUGGUCAUCUCCCGGGAGGAGAGGGAGCAGAACCUGCUGGCGUUCCAGCACAGUGAGCGCAUCUACUUCCGGGCGUGCAGGGACAUCCGGCCUGGGGAGUGGCUGCGGGUCUGGUACAGCGAGGACUACAUGAAGCGCCUGCACAGCAUGUCCCAGGAAACCAUUCACCGCAACCUGGCCAGAGCCUCAGAGAGCAUGGUCUCCGGCCCCGCCAUCAUGGAGGACGAUGACCAGGAAGUCGAUUCAGCAGAUGAAUCUGUCUCCAAUGAUAUGAUGACAGCGACAGAUGAGCCCUCCAAGAUGUCAUCGGCCACCGGGCGCCGAAUCCGGCGCUUUAAGCAGGAAUGGCUGAAGAAGUUCUGGUUCCUGCGGU